GAUGGACGCUGGCGGCGCGCCUAACACAUGCAAGUCGAACGGCACCCCUCCUCGGAGGGAAGCGAGUGGCGAACGGCUGAGUAACACGUGGAGAACCUGCCCCCUCCCCCGGGAUAGCCGCCCGAAAGGACGGGUAAUACCGGAUACCCCGGGGUGCCGCAUGGCACCCCGGCUAAAGCCCCGACGGGAGGGGAUGGCUCCGCGGCCCAUCAGGUAGACGGCGGGGUGACGGCCCACCGUGCCGACAACGGGUAGCCGGGUUGAGAGACCGACCGGCCAGAUUGGGACUGAGACACGGCCCAGACUCCUACGGGAGGCAGCAGUGGGGAAUCUUGCGCAAGGGGGGGAACCCUGACGCAGCGACGCCGCGUGCGGGACGGAGGCCUUCGGGUCGUAAACCGCUUUCAGCAGGGAAGAGUCAAGACUGCACCUGCAGAAGAAGCCCCGGCUAACUACGUG
rnacentral:rRNA from 1 species